GAUGAAGAACGUAGCAAAAUGCGAUAAGUAAUGUGAAUUGCAGAAUUCAGCGAAUCAUCGAAUCUUUGAACGCACAUUGCGCCCGCCAGUAUUCUGGCGGGCAUGCCUGUUCGAGCGUCAUUUCAACCCUCAAGCACAGCUUGGUGUUGGGACUCGCGUUAAUUCGCGUUCCUCAAAUUGAUUGGCGGUCACGUCGAGCUUCCAUAGCGUAGUAGUAAAACCCUCGUUACUGGUAAUCGUCGCGGCCACGCCGUUAAACCCCAACUUCUGAAUGUUGACCUCGGAUCAGGUAGGAAUACCCGCUGAACUUAAGCAUAUCAAUAAGCGGAGGA
rnacentral:misc_RNA from 1 species